GACGAACGCUGGCGGCGUGCCUAAUACAUGCAAGUAGAACGCACAGUUUAUACCGUAGCUUGCUACACCAUAGACUGUGAGUUGCGAACGGGUGAGUAACGCGUAGGUAACCUGCCUGGUAGCGGGGGAUAACUAUUGGAAACGAUAGCUAAUACCGCAUAAUAUUAAUUAUUGCAUGAUAAUUAAUUGAAAGGUGCAAUUGCACCACUACCAGAUGGACCUGCGUUGUAUUAGCUAGUAGGUGAGGUAACGGCUCACCUAGGCGACGAUACAUAGCCGACCGUAGAUGGUGAUCGGCCACACUGGGACUGAGACACGGCCCAGACUCCUACGGGAGGCAGCAGUAGGGAAUCUUCGGCAAUAGACGAAAGUCUGACCGAGCAACGCCGCGUGAGUGAAGAAGGUUUUCGGAUCGUAAAGCUCUGUUGUAAGAGAAGAACGGGUGUGAGAGUGGAAAGUUCACACUGUGACGGUAUCUUACCAGAAAGGGACGGCUAACUACGUG
rnacentral:rRNA from 1 species